UAUUUAUUUACUUACGACUAUAAAAUCUAGACAUAAAAACUAUCAGAGCGCAGUGCAGCAGUGCACUCCUCUCUCUUUAGUUUCUGUCAGAUUUCUUUCUUCUCUCUCAAAAAUCUCUCAAAUCCAAUAGACUCUCCGCUCCUCUGAUCUUUUCUUCGAUUUGGUUUAUGAGCUCGAAGGAGAAACUCACUCUUGGUUUUGGUUACAAAUGUAAUGAGGACUAGACUGAGAGACAUGGAGAAAGUAAUGAGCGCUCAACAACAGCAACAAGAA